UUCGGAUUUGUUUUUGGAUUGUGCUCUCUCUUUUUUCUUAUUGCUUUAGUUGUUAUAUUUUCAUGUUAAAAUCUAUGCUGAUAAGAAUCAAACUAGGAUGUGAAGAUAUCUGCCAUUGAAAUAUCUCCAAAGUUUGUGGUUAUUGGGAGCUCUACUACCUUUAAAAGCGAGAAAUUUGAAAAAGAUAGUCACAUGGCCGGGUUGGUAACAUGAGGGUGAAUGUUACAAAUUUGAUCAAAGAAAGUAUUUCGAGCUACCCUCAAAAGAGUACUAAGAUCCGGGAAGCACAAAGUAGGUGGUCUUAAGAGCAAUUGCUCAGGAGUUAUGUUCCAUCAAAUACCGAAUCCAAGCAUAGUACAUAGGUAUAUUAUAAAACGUGAGUCCCUCAGGUAUGAAUACCUUAUAACUUCUCUCAUUGUAAAGGAUUUGAUCCUCCCACCCUCUGAAUCAUUAAUUGCUUCUAACACUCCGGGCUUUUUAACUAGGAAUCAUAUGAGUGGAGUGCAGUAGUGGGUCAUUUCAAAGAGGAGUGCCUCCCACGCAUUAUUUGGAACCCAAUUAGCAAAUGUAUAUAUGAGCUAAAAAUGUUUACUCUCCCAUACUCUUAAUUAUUUAUUUAAUCUGGCUAAUUUUAUUACCCAUUUGUGCAGAUUGCUGAUGAAGUUGAGUUCUUUUUAUUUGGAACUUAUGACUUUACCCAAAUGACAUUUGGGUAUAGUAGAGAUGAUGUUAGAUAACUUUGAUAGUUUCUUUUGCGUGUUAGAUAACUUUGAUUACCUAACUCUGAGUUCCUGAUCUUUCUAAUCUGAAAUGUGUGUAGACUACAAGUCUACAACAACUCUAAAAAUAUUAAUUUUGAUAAGUUAUCAAUGUACAUUCAGAAUAUAGUUAUACAAUGUUUACUAAUCAUACAUAUAAUGAUAGUGACUUUGAAAAUUCAGCAUUUAUUGAUACGCGAAAACAUGAUUGGAUGUUUAUAUGGAAUGUUUUGCUUUCACAAUCCAUCAAGAUAACAACAAUUUCUCUUUCAUUGUUUCUUUCAAAACUUCAGUAUUUUUUCUUAGACAUUCAAAAACACCUGAUAUGUGUUUCUUACUUAGUUACCUAUUUUUAUGAUGUUGAUUAUAAUGUCAGUUCAUUUAGGUGAUUAUUGUUCUCUUGUCUUGCUCAGUAGGUAAUAAUGGUAAAUUUAAAUGUAUAUAUACCUCUCUUUGUUAAAUGAUUAUAUAAUAUUAUGUGAUGCAUUUUUACCAUACUUUGUUAGACAUGAAUUAACUUUAGGAAGAAAAUUGAAUAUAGGGUGAGAGAGCUUUUCCCCUAACUUUUGUUUCAACUCAUGGUGAAGAAUUAGGGACAAUGUUUUAUGUCAUUGAUGAGUUCGAUAAUUGUUUACUGCUGGAGCUGAGAAGAAACAAUGAUCAGUUGCUUAUAACUGACAUCUCAUUUGAACAGAUUAGAUCUUUCUAUUUUAUCAACAGAGUGGUAUCUGUUCAAUUUAGAUAUGUCAGUUUCGGAAUAUUUUUUAUUUCAUCGUGGAAUCAUAAGAACCAGCCCAUCCAGAUUCACCUUGAUCCUGACUCAUAUGUGCCUGAGCUAAUGGACCCAGAGACACUUGAUAAUGUAUACAGAGUGUUCCACAUAAAGUAUACUAGGAUUGGUGAGGCCUCAUCACCUGAUGUGAUGGUUCUAUCUGGGUCUGAACCAUCUGAUGAUGAGUUUUCAUCAGACGGUGAUGAAAACAAUGACGAAGAUGGAACACUGAAAGGGGAUUAUCCUCAUAAUCCUAUAGAUUUGUGUGGUGCAACCAAUUCAUCAAUGGAGGCCAACGAACAAAGUAAUGAGACAAGCAAAUUGUCUGACCAUGGAUGUUUAUUAUCAAAAGACAAUCACAGAUUCGGAUCUUGGUCAAUCUAGACUGAGAUGGUUCGAUUUGGACGAUCACUGGUCCACCUUCCAAUGUAAAGAAGAAUGUAUUCUUUUUCCACUUACUGAGAAGUGGAGGAAGAGAUGGAAAAUGGAAGUUUGGGAUCGAGUGGAAUGAAUGUUGUAGAGUAUACAAUUUAAAGGAAGGGGACAAGAUUACCUUAAAACUCGACUCCUUACCUAACAGCCAGAUAAAAUUGUCGAUUGAACGAUGUUAGGCCUCCUAUUUAUAAUUCUGUUUGAUAGAUAUUUUGAACUAUAUGUUAAACUGUUUUGGACAUAUUUUGUUUUCUGA